rnacentral:rRNA from 1 species
AGGUAGUACAAUAAAAAAACCUAUUCUCACCGGCAGUAUAUUUACUCUUUAGAGGAACUUGUUCAUUAAUCGAUAAUCCGCAAUAAAUUUUACUAAAAUAAAAAAUCUAUAUACCACCGUCUCAAGAAUAAAACCAAAUUUUACUCAAAAUAACAACUAAAAAGUCAGGUCAAGGUAUAAUCCUAAUUUUAGAACAGAAUGAGUUACAUUAAAAGUAAUUUAAGGAUUAUAAUCCAACAACUAUAUAAAAAAGGAUUUAUCAGUAGUUUAAAGAUAUUACCAAUUUACAAAAACACCUAAAUAUGC